CCACAAUUGCAUAUUUGAAUUCAAAUUUUGAAUCUCAAAAGGGCUCUAAAAGAUUUUGUUUACACCUAUUUGAGCUUUGGAUCUUCAAACCAUUAAUAUUUAUAUAUAAAAGGGGUUUAUUGCACAUAUGAGCUAUCCCAUAAUUUUUGGAUAAUUAUUUGGAGUUAAAAAAAAUAUUUUAUUCAAAUAGAUAUAUGGCCCUAAAGGAAUUUAUAGGGCAAAUGUAUUUUUACAUAUUUUAUUUUGAAGAGAAACUACUUCCAAAAGUUGUAUCUUGGUAGAACAUGAUUUUACAAAUUUUCUGGAUUUUAUUUGGACUAAAUUGGAGUUCAAACCCAAAAGAUAUCAAAGAAAUGAGAAAAACAGAAACAAAGAAAAGGGCUAAAAGAAAAAAAAAGGGGUAAACCGGACCGGCCCGGCCAUCUUGGGCCGAACCGGCCCCGUCCGACCGCGCCCGACCGGCCCCGCCAGCCCGCCACCCGCGCGCGCCCGCGACCGCUGACAGGUGGGGCCCACCUGUCAGGGGCUCCUAUUUGUCUAAAAAUGAUAGGAUUUGAAUCAUGAUGCUUUUAUGCAAAGUAGCCAAACCCCACUUAGCCAAACUAUGCAUGUACUUGGUAGGUCCUUUAUAACUCUAGUGAGUUUGCCAAUACCUUCAAAUGUAUCGACCACGUAGUGGCUGCAAUUAAUAAUGCAGGUGAAACUGACGAAGAGUGAGGUUCGUCGAUAUUUCUUUGGGUCAUGUGCUUACAUUCCAACAUGCUCUCUCCUUUGGGAGUAGAUGAGGCCCUUUCACUCUACUUUUCCGCUGCAGCUUCAUGAUACAUUGUUAUCAUGGUUUUGAACUUUAUUUGUUUAUGCUGGCUU
rnacentral:lncRNA from 1 species